UCUCAGGUGACUCAGUGGUAAAGAAUCUGCCUGCGAUGCAGGCCAUACAGGUUCGAUUCCUGAGUUGGGAA
rnacentral:tRNA from 1 species